UACGGCGGGUGCAAGCGUUGUUCGGAUUUACUGGGCGUAAAGGGCGCGUAGGCGGCGCGUAAAGUCGGACAUGAAAUCAUUGGGCUUAACCCGAUGGCUGUGCCCGAUACUUGCGUGCUUAGAGUGCGGGAGAGGCAAUCGGAAUUCUCGGUGUAGCGGUGAAAUGCGAAGAUAUCGAGAGGAACUCCGGUGACGAAGGUGGGUUGCUGGACCGACACUGACGCUGAGGCGCGAAAGCUAGGGGAGCAAACGGG
rnacentral:rRNA from 1 species